UCCAGCUCUGGUUUCUCAUUUCUACUACCAGGAAAUGUUACAUGUAUUGAGGAUUGUUAGAGGGUAGUGAUCGCUCUCUGCCUUCUCCCUUCUCCUCAAGCCCUGUCCUCCUUCAUUGAAGACUGUUAUUAUUUAGUUUAUGCGGGUCAUUUCCCUACACUUUUUACAACGUCCAGCAGCCCGGACACAGUCUAUUUCUUAUCUUAUUUUAUUGACAGAAAAUUUAUAUAUUGAUCCCCCUACCAACCAACACUAUCUUUAAAACUACAUUGCUGACUCCGUGAGGAAGCGCUGCUAAAGCGCGAAACCGGUCGAGUCCACCUACGCAGCAAGCCAAACCACCGCAGACAUUUCUCUGCCUGCAUUUCCACAACGUGACAGGACCACUAAUUACAUUCAUGCACCUUAUUCCAAAUACUUUUGGAAGUGUUCAAUUUUAUUGUUGAUAUUUUGUUAUAAUUUAUGUAUAUAUUCCUGUCAAUGUUCAUGGAUAGGCUUGCCUAGAUUAGCCUGUUAGAUGGUUUUUUGUGCUGGAAACGGCAAUACUCUUUCUUCUGUAUUUUUCUACACAUUAUGAUAUUUUAUAUCUAAAUAAACAAAUCUACUUUUUAGAAAAAAUUCUUUUCUUGUAUAUAUAUUCUGACCAACCAAAUCGUGCCUAAAAAGUCCAAAAACUAGCCCCUAGUUCCCUCCUUUAUCAUUUAUACUAGGACGCGGCACCCUCUUUUUACUUUAUAAUAUCCACAUGCACACUACAUGUGAGGAUAUUGUUACCUCUUUUCUUUUCAAAUAAUUAUUUGGGUGGUAGCACCCGGGCAAAACUUCAGU